AGAACGAACGCUGGCGGCAUGCCUAACACAUGCAAGUCGAACGAACCCUUCGGGGUUAGUGGCGCACGGGUGCGUAACGCGUGGGAAUCUGCCCUUGGCUUCGGAAUAACAGUUAGAAAUGACUGCUAAUACCGGAUGAUGUCUUCGGACCAAAGAUUUAUCGGCCAGGGAUGAGCCCGCGUAGGAUUAGGUAGUUGGUGGGUAAAGGCCUACCAAGCCGACGAUCCUUAGCUGGUCUAGAGAGGAUGAUCAGCCACACUGGGACUGAGACACGGCCCAGACUCCGUACGGGAGGCAGCAGGUGGGGAAUAUUGGACAAGUGGGCGACAAGCCUGACUCCAGCAAUGCCGCGUGAGUGAGUGAAGGUCGUUAGGUCGUAAGUCUUACUUUACGAGG
rnacentral:rRNA from 1 species